GAUGAACGCUAGCGGCAGGCUUAAUACAUGCAAGUCGAGGGGCAGCGCAGUGUAGCAAUACAUGGGCGGCGACCGGCAAACGGGUGCGUAACACGUACGCAACCUUCCCGUUACUGUGGGAUAGCCCAGGGAAACUUGGAUUAAUACCACAUAUUGCCAUUGGGAGGCAUCUCUUGAUGGCCAAAGAAUUUCGGUAACGGAUGGGCGUGCGGUUGAUUAGGUAGUUGGCGGGGUAACGGCCCACCAAGCCUACGAUCAAUAGCUGAUGUGAGAGCAUGAUCAGCCACACGGGCACUGAGACACGGGCCCGACUCCUACGGGAGGCAGCAGUAAGGAAUAUUGGGCAAUGGACGAAAGUCUGACCCAGCCAUGCCGCGUGAAGGAUGAAGGUCCUCUGGAUUGUAAACUUCUUUUUAUAUGAGAAGAUAAUGACGGUAUCAUAUGAAUAAGCACCGGCUAACUCCGUG
rnacentral:rRNA from 1 species